AUGCCAACAUCUGUGCUUGAUGAAAUCCACAAAGAGGUGGUGCUCCAGGAAGGAGAUAAUGUCUACCUGACAUUGGCCCUGGUGUGUACCACAUUCAGAGACAUUGUGUCCACCAAUUAUUUGAGAAGACGGGCACAUUUUCAGUGGCUUGACAGUGUUGCUACAUGGAGUAGGUUUUCUGCAACGUACAAAAAAGCUUUCUGCACCAUGUACUGACACCUGUAUUGACAUACUGUAUUGACACCUGCCUUGGAUGUGGACGACUAUAUAAAAACUGCACACCAGGUAUACAUCUUAUACAGUACUUGAUAGUGUUGGUAUCUGAUUACACACAGUAUCAUAACUAUGCAUUGAUCACAUCUGUAGAGGUCACUUGUCAGUAUGUUUUUUUACCUUCCUUUUUGUUUUACAGGAUAUGUUGGGACAGGAAAAAGGGGAGCGCUAGAAGCAAUCUAUUCCGAAGCUGAAGAUCCGGGAUACUGCAAUCACUUCUGCAGCCAAUUGCAAUCGGUAAACAUAAGUUUAACACAAACACAAAUCCUAGACUAAAUUAUGUCACUGAAAUGUAUGUAGGUCUACAAAAAGACCCUUGAAACUAAUUGAGUGAUGUAACUUAUUUAAGGACCCUUAAGAUACAGUGCCGUCAAAAGUAUUCAAACCUUACAAUAAAAAAAAAACUACAUUUCCCUCAGUGAUCUCCACUCUGUGCCCUGUAAUGACAAUAAUUUCAUUCAUUUUUUUUUUUUUUUUUUUUUUUUCAGUGUUCAAUUUUUUUUUAAUUGAACACUGAAUUUUAUCUUUAUCGUUUUUGCAAAUCUUUAAAACCUAUGCCAUUUUCAAUUGUGAAUGAAGCAACUACCAUGGACGUGUCAGUUACAAACUUAACUUCUUGACACUAUAUCUGCACAUCUUUGCUUGUUGCAGGUGUCCCUCUUGCCUGUCCUCCAGCCCCUGCACGUCGAGAGGAGCAGACACCCGUUUGUGCCCAGAGGACAUUACUCACAUGUUGGACUUUUGAGAAUACUUUGCAAAAUCUCAUGACACUGUUAUUGUUGUAAAUAUAUAUAUAUAGUUAUAUGUCCUUAAGAUGUUCAUGUUAAUGUUUGUGUUGUUGUUUCUGCAUACAAGGUUGACCUGUACUUAGUUUGUUUCGAUUGAAUAUGCAUGUUAAGUAUUACCUUAGUUUGUUUCACUAGUCACUUUUGUUGUACAUAGUAACUUUAAAUUGUUACCUUUUUUCCACAUUUGUAUAUAGUCACUGUUAGUACCUGGAAGCAGUAGGAGUGAGCUGCCUUUUCUUUUGACUUGUUUUCUCAUGUUUUUUCAUAGUUUAGGAUGUUAGUUUUAGUGAUGGUCUUUUUUAUUAUUUACUUUGACAUAGGGUUUAGGUAGCUUGAACUUCCCUUUAAAAUCUAGUUUGUUUUGUUUAAUUAUUUUGGCCUUGGUUCACUCCGAAGAGAAGCUUCAUUUUCAGUUUGGUGUAUUGUUUGUGUGCUAAGCAGCAAUAAACUGCUUGUCAUUUUGACUACGCGUGUGUGGACUCCUAUUUAUGUUA
ensembl:lncRNA